UCUCUCUCUCUCUCUCUCCUUCCACCCUCUCUAGUCUCUCUCUCAAAACCCUAGUCCAACACCGAGCACCGAAACAACCAUGAAAGGUGGCAAAAUCGGCGCCAAAAUCCCCAAUCUAAAUUGAAGGAAGAUGAAAAAUGGUGGUUAUUGCUAUUAUUUGCAAGGGUCGGAGAUGGGAUUUGCUACUAUUGCUAUUAGCCACGGUGGUCGAGAUGACGAUCUUGCAAAGUACCUCAGAAAACUCACACGGCAUGUGGUCAUAACACUAAUGGCUGCAGUCAUGGGAUGAUUGAUUUUUGGUUAUGAUAGUGGUAUAAUGGGUAUAUGAUUUUUCCUUUUAUAUAUUUCUUUUAAUUUUAUUUUUUUUCAUUACAUAAUAUGAUUGCUUGAAUCUGUAAUAAUUUUUCAUGCUUUUAUUUAUGCGAGAAUGUUUGGUCCAUGAAUAAAAUUCCACUAUCCUUAGCUGAUUUUUCUGUCCACAUCAACACAGAGCCAAAUUUAAAUUCGAGACCAUAUUGAACAUUCAGCUUCUGCUUCUCCAAAUCCAAAUCAAGGUUAGGCACUAGUCAGGGAGUAAAAGUGUGCAACUAUAUCUUGCAAAUGAGAGCUCCAUCAUUCAACUCCUUAUAGUGAAGAUUCUCAUAAACAAUUUUGGAGAGAGGGAGAGAGAGAGUGAGGGUGGGUAUGGUUGAUUGGAGAAUUUUUAUAAACAGAUAUCCAUCGGAUUGGGGGUAGGAAUGGUAGAUUGGAAUAUUUUGUGCAGAGAGAGAAUUUGUGUUGUUAUUGUUAUUUAUCUUAUAAAUAUAUGUAAUAUAUUAUUGUCAUUUAUCACCUGAUUUUUCAAAUCUUUUUCUAAGUUUGUUAAAUGUGAAAUUGUAUAGUUAAAGUGUAGUAGUUAUAUAUUUUUCCUUUUCUCUUUCCAUAAUUUUCAUUUUUCCCAAAUUGUAGGUUUUUAUUUCACUGAGGAAAGACGUGUUUCGUGGUGAAGAGUAAUGAUAUGUAGCCACACUGUUCAAUUGGCGCUAAAUAAUAGGCUAAAUGGAAGGUGGAAUUAAAUUAGGGAUAAAUAGGAUUAUGAAAUGAAUGAUUUGGUAAGGGAGCUAUUAUUUGGAGUGAUUUUAACUGCUAGCUCAUCUUUCCCUCAUCCACAUAGCCGUUUCUUCUGACAUGUUUGCAAAGCAAACAGGAAACCGACCAGGCGGCAAU
rnacentral:lncRNA from 1 species